GAUGAACGCUGGCGGCGUGCCUAAUACAUGCAAGUCGAGCGAACAGAUAAGGUGCUUGCUCCUUUGACGUUAGCGGCGGACGGGUGAGUAACACGUGGGUAACCUACCUAUAGGACUGGGAUAACUUCGGGAAACCGGAGCUAAUACCGGAUAAUAUUUCGAACCGCAUGGUUCGAUAGUGAAAGAUGGUUUUGCUAUCACUUAUAGAUGGACCCGCGCCGUAUUAGCUAGUUGGUAAGGUAACGGCUUACCAAGGCGACGAUACGUAGCCGACCUGAGAGGGUGAUCGGCCACACUGGAACUGAGACACGGUCCAGACUCCUACGGGAGGCAGCAGUAGGGAAUCUUCCGCAAUGGGCGAAAGCCUGACGGAGCAACGCCGCGUGAGUGAUGAAGGUCUUCGGAUCGUAAAACUCUGUUAUUAGGGAAGAACAUACGUGUAAGUAACUGUGCACGUCUUGACGGUACCUAAUCAGAAAGCCACGGCUAACUACGUG
rnacentral:rRNA from 1 species